rnacentral:rRNA from 1 species
GACGAACGCUGGCGGCGUGCCUAAUACAUGCAAGUAGAACGCACAGUUUAUACCGUAGCUUGCUACACCAUAGACUGUGAGUUGCGAACGGGUGAGUAACGCGUAGGUAACCUGCCUGGUAGCGGGGGAUAACUAUUGGAAACGAUAGCUAAUACCGCAUAAUAUUAAUUAUUGCAUGAUAAUUGAUUGAAAGGUGCAAAUGCAUCACUACCAGAUGGACCUGCGUUGUAUUAGCUAGUAGGUGAGGUAACGGCUCACCUAGGCGACGAUACAUAGCCGACCUGAGAGGGUGAUCGGCCACACUGGGACUGAGACACGGCCCAGACUCCUACGGGAGGCAGCAGUAGGGAAUCUUCGGCAAUGGACGAAAGUCUGACCGAGCAACGCCGCGUGAGUGAAGAAGGUUUUCGGAUCGUAAAGCUCUGUUGUAAGAGAAGAACGGGUGUGAGAGUGGAAAGUUCACACUGUGACGGUAUCUUACCAGAAAGGGACGGCUAACUACGUGCCAGCAGCCGCGGUAAUACGUAGGUCCCGAGCGUUGUCCGGAUUUAUUGGGCGUAAAGCGAGCGCAGGCGGUUAGAUAAGUCUGAAGUUAAAGGCUGUGGCUUAACCAUAGUACGCUUUGGAAACUGUUUAACUUGAGUGCAGAAGGGGAGAGUGGAAUUCCAUGUGUAGCGGUGAAAUGCGUAGAUAUAUGGAGGAACACCGGUGGCGAAAGCGGCUCUCUGGUCUGUAACUGACGCUGAGGCUCGAAAGCGUGGGGAGCGAACGG